AAAAAUUUAGUUAAUAUAUAACAUUAAUUUGUCAAAUUAAAAUAAUUAGUCAUAAUAAUUUUUA
rnacentral:tRNA from 1 species